rnacentral:rRNA from 4 species
CUGUAAGCCUGUGAAGGUGGCCUGUGAGGGUUGCUGGAGGUAUCAGAAGUGCGAAUGCUGACAUAAGUAACGAUAAAGCGGGUGAAAAGCCCGCUCGCCGGAAGACCAAGGGUUCCUGUCCAACGUUAAUCGGGGCAGGGUGAGUCGACCCCUAAGGCGAGGCCGAAAGGCGUAGUCGAUGGGAAACGGGUUAAUAUUCCCGUACUUGGUGUUACUGCGAAGGGGGGACGGAGAAGGCUAUGUUGGCCGGGCGACGGUUGUCCCGGUUUAAGCGUGUAGGUGUGUGUUCCAGGUAAAUCCGGUUCACUUUAACACUGAGGCGUGAUGACGAGGCACUACGGUGCUGAAGCAACAAAUGCCCUGCUUCCAGGAAAAGCCUCUAAGCAUCAGGUAACAUCAAAUCGUACCCCAAACCGACACAGGUGGUCAGGUAGAGAAUACCAAGGCGCUUGAGAGAACUCGGGUGAAGGAACUAGGCAAAAUGGUGCCGUAACU